rnacentral:lncRNA from 1 species
CCAUAUUCAUUAUCUUUGUGCCGAAUGAAAAGAGAAAGAAAAUAAGAAAACCAAGCUAGGUAUUCGGCCCUUGUUCAAGCAAAUUAAGGUAUGUUUCGGUUUCGGUUUCGGUUUUUGAUGAUUUUUAUGUUUUUGAUAUCGUUGUUUCGAAUACUACUCGACCCAUGCUUAAAUUUUUGAAUUUGAUGAUGAUUUUGUGUUUUUCCAUUGUUGAAAGCUUGUGAUUUUGUUGUUUAAUGAUAAAAAAUAAAAGAUAUGAAAUGGAUAUAUAUAUUGAAAUUGAAUUUUUGAUUAUUUUGAGUAAUUAGGGCUAAAUUGAAAAAAUAAUAAAUUGAGGGACUAAAAUGUGAAAUAAAUGGCAUGCAUGAACUUAUAUGAGCUUAGUGCAUAUUCGGCCAAACUAUUGUGCAAGGAAAGUUUGUUUAUUUUGUAUUUUUGUGAAAUAAGGACUAAUUUGUGAAAAAUGUGAAAUGUUAGGGGCAAAAGUGUAAUUUUCCCAUUUAUGUGUUUUUGGAUUUAAUUGAAUGAAUAUGUGGUUAAAUUAGUUAAAAUUGAACUUAUUUAGAUCAAGAACAGAAGAAAACGAAAUUAGAUCGGGGAAAGUCGAAAGUAGUCGAGUAGUCGACUGUGUCCGUCAAUAUCCGAGGUAAGUCGAUAAGCAUUUAAAUGUUGUUAAAUUCAAGAAUAUAUAAAUGAUAAGUAAUAAAUUAAAUUAUUGUAUUUGUUAUAUGCUUUGGCUGAAUGUGAUUAUCGAGAUACAGAUUUUGUUUCGAGUUUGAUUCGAUUGAUAAUCAACGCCUGAAAGCCUCGUACGAACCCUAGGAAUAGAUAGGAUACUUAUGUCAUGACAUAGUACUCUGAUAUGUGUUUUCGUGUAAGACCACGUCUGGGACGUCGACAUCGACUUGUGUUUACGUGUAAGACCAUGUCUAGGACAUUGGCAUCGUAUUUGAUUCGUGUAAGACCCUAUCAGGGACAGUGGCAUCGAUAUGAGAUAGCAUGUAAGACCACGUCUGGGACGUUGGCAUUGUUCGAUAUAUGUGAUUAUCCGAGUAUCCUAUUAAAUUCCGAAUGGUUCAACGGGCAAUGAUAAGUUGUGAUCGAAGGUGUAAAACGAGCUAAAACGAUCAGGUAUGAGUUAGUUGACUACCUAUAUAAAAAUAAGGUAAGUUGGCCAGUUGGUAUAUGAUACAAAUUAAAUAAGUUACUAAUGUGAACAUAUGUACAUUAGUGGAGUAUAUUCGGCCAUAUGUUAUGUAUAUGCAUAUGAUGUUAUAUUUUGAUUUAAAAUUAUAUGUAUAUGUGUGUAAAUAUAUAUUCGGAUAUAUAAUGAUAUUAUGUCUUUAAAUUGAUUGACACUUUGAAUAUAUAUACAUAUACAUUCGGUUAAGAUAAGAUUUACUUAAGAAAACACAUGUUUUAUAUGAAACGUUAAGCUUGAGGUUAAAUGUGAUUAUGCUAGUGUAAUUUAAUUUGGUUAAAAAAUGAGUUGAUAAUGUAGUUUAUAUUCGGUCAAAAUUUGAUAUGUAAUAAUGAGGUUAAAAAAAUGAGAGCUGCACAUGUGAACGACAUUAUAUAUAUUCGGUCAAAUGUUAAACUUAUGUGUAUUCGGUUAAAUAUGGAUUUGAGGUAUAAUACGUGUUUGAUAAAUGUAUUUUUCGAUUAUGGAAAUGUAUAUGAAUAUUGAAAACAUGAUUUGAUUUUGUUGUAACUAAUUAAAUGUUGUUAAGUUAUCUAUUUGCUUAUGACUUACUAAGCUAUAAUUGCUUACUCUGUGUGUUCUUCUUAUGUUUUUAGAGUUCCAAAGACUUGCUCGGGUUGGAAGACGUUGGAGUCGUGAUCACACUAUCCGGUUAUGGCUUUGGUAAGUUAAAGAUUUGAGUUUUUGGUUAUGUGGCAUGUAUA